rnacentral:rRNA from 1 species
CCUACGGGAGGCAGCAGUGAGGAAUAUUGGUCAAUGGUCGGGAGACUGAACCAGCCAAGCCGCGUGAGGGAGGAAGGUACAGAGUAUCGUAAACCUCUUUUGUCAGGGAACAAAGGCGGGGACGUGUCCCCGGAUGAGUGUACCUGAAGAAAAAGCAUCGGCUAACUCCGUGCCAGCAGCCGCGGUAAUACGGAGGAUGCGAGCGUUAUCCGGAUUUAUUGGGUUGAAAGGGUGCGCAGGCGGUCUGUUAAGUCAGAGGUAAAAGCCCGGGGCUCAACCCCGGCCCGCCGUUGAAACUGGCAGUCUCGAGUUGGAGAGAAGUAUGCGGAAUGCGCGGUGUAGCGGUGAAAUGCAUAGAUAUCGCGCAGAACUCCGAUUGCGAAGGCAGCAUGCCGGCUCCACACUGACGCUGAGGCACGAAAGCGUGGGUAUCGAACAGGAUUAGAUACCCCUGUAGUC